rnacentral:piRNA from 1 species
UUAUUUUAUUUGGGGAAUAAGGCUGAAGU